rnacentral:misc_RNA from 1 species
CCAAAUCUGAAACCACCAUCAUCUGAGGCUGCACCAAUGAUGACUUCAUGUUAUAAAAAUGUAUUGUGCUGUCAUAAGUGAUAAACCCAAUCUGCGUUCUGGGGAAGCCAGGCAAGUCAUCCAAACAAGACUUGAUAGUUUGGGCCACAACCUCAAUCAUGCCACUUCUAACAGCUGAUAUUGAAACAUCAAUGAGAAAGAAAUAUAAUGGUGGCAUUGGAGGCCGCACCAUAUACUCAGUUGAAGCAACAAACUCCACACUACCCUUUGUAAGCUCAGGUCGCUGAUCCAAAUCAACUCUUCUACCAGUGGCAUCUAAAUGGGCAAAAUACUCACCAGGAACAUCAUUAAGUAGAGAACAGAUGUUGCAACGCCACUUUCUUCCAGCAUCUGUAAAGGUUACAUAUGG